rnacentral:rRNA from 1 species
CGCAAGCCUGACGGAGCAACGCCGCGUGGAGGAUGACGGCUCUCGGGUUGUAAACUCCUUUUGUGGGGGAUGACAUCGACAGUACCCCACCAACAAGCCCCGGCUAACUACGUGCCAGCAGCCGCGGUAAUACGUAGGGGGCCAGCGUUGUCCGGACUUACUGGGCGUAAAGCGCGCGCAGGUGGACAAGUAUGUGCCGUGUGAAAGCGCCGUCCUUACGAUGGCGAGGUCGUGGUAGACAGCUUGUCUUGAGGCUCGAAGAGGUUGAUGGAAUUCCGGGUGGAGCGGUGAAAUGCGUAGAUAUCCGGAGGAACACCAGGGGCGAAGGCGGUCAACUGGUCGAGUUCUGACACUGAGGCGCGACGGCGUGGGGAGCAAACCGGAUUAGAUACCCGGGUAGUCCACGCAGUAAACGAUGCACACCCGGUGUGGGGGCAGGAUUUCCUCCUGUCUCCGUGCCCAAGGUUACCUGAUGAGUGUGCCGCCUGGGGACUACGAGCGCAAGCUUA